CCGGCCCUUUUUCUGAAGCCAGAUGGCAUAAGCAAAGAUGCUGAGGAGGAAUGGCAGCGUUUGAAAGGAAGGAAAACUAAUCGGGUUACGAGGCCAACAGUUGACGGCCGUCUAAUCUCAGCAAACGCGCUUGAUUCUCUUGUCGGCCGUCUCCCGUCUGGGAUGACGCUUACGCGGUCCAAAGAUGAGUGGUUGAUAUUCCAGCACACAAGCAAAACGAAGACUCGCUGCUUCUUCCCCGUUUGAUCACUCCCUCUGCGCGCCGAACCCCGGAGCCCUCCUCCUCGCCGCCGCAGCGGAGCGGUUCCCAGACCUGGAAUUUCGCUGGGACAUUUUCACCCUUGAAAGAAGCCAACCAGUGAAAAUCCAUAGUACCAUGGCAGAGGGGGUUGUCGGCAUGCUGAUUCUGAAGCUUGGCUCAGCCUUGGCCAUAGAAGCAAUCAAGGUUGGUACAGGGAAGCUAUGCCGUCAAGCUAAAGCUUCUUCUAUUGCCAGGCUGUUUGGUCAGAUCCGUGAUAUCAAGGAGGAGCUGGAGAGCAUGCAGUCGUUUCUACAAGAAGCCGAGAGGUUCAAGGAUACUGACAAUACCACUGCCAGCUUCAUCAACAAGAUACGAGGCCUUGCUUUCGAGAUCGAGGAUGUUGUUGACGAGUUCACCUACAAGUUAGAGGACAAACAUGGUGGCUUUUCUGUGAAGAUCAAGCGGCAGUUUAAGAGAAUCAGUACCUGGCGCCGUCUGUCACUGAAAUUGAGAGACAUCAAACUGAAAUUAGAGAAUGUUGAUAGGAGAAAGGCCCGGUAUGACAUGAGAGGAAUUGCAAUCGAAGCUAGAAACAGUGAUGCUCAUUGCAGAUCUACAGAUCAGACUUCAUACUUCCCAAUAGAAGAAAAUCUUGUCGGCAUUGAUGAGAGUAAGAAUCUGCUGAUUAAUUGGUUGACAAGUGAUUUCCAACAGGAGAAUGUAAUUAGCACAGUAUGGGGGAUGGGAGGAGUAGGCAAGACCACUUUGGUUGCCCAUGUUUACAACACUUUGAAGAUUGACUUCGACUGUGCUGCAUGGGUAACUGUCUCAAAAGCAUACCAGGUUCAGGACUUGUUAAAGCAGAUUAUCAGGGAGUUACAGAAGAGCGACUUGAAGGGUGAACUUCGCGUUGAUAUUGUUGACAUGGAAAAGAGAAGCCUAGUUGAGAUCAUCCGUGAUUUCCUGCGUGGCAAGAAGUAUCUUCUGGUUCUAGAUGAUGUCUGGGGUAUUGAUAUCUGGUUCAAAAUAAGAGAUGCUUUCCCUACUAACAGCACCAGCCGGUUUGUAAUCACGUCAAGAAUCCAUGAUGUAGCGUUGCUGGCUACUGGAAAUUGCAUGGUUGAAUUGAAACCACUAGAAGCGCACCACUCAUGGGAAUUGUUCUGUAAAGAGGCGUUUUGGAAAAAUGAAAACAGAAUAUGUCCGGAGGAGCUACAGUUUUUGGCACAAAGAUUUGUGGACAAGUGUAAUGGCUUGCCCAUUGCUAUUGCAUGCAUAGGUCGUUUACUGUCCUGCAAAAGCCAAACUCAUUCUGAAUGGGAAAAAUUGUACAAGGAAUUAGAAGUGCAGUUGACAAACAAUGCGAUUCUUGAUGUUAACAUAGUUCUAAUGGUCAGUUUGGGGGAUCUUCCAUAUAUUUUGAAGAACUGCUUUCUUCAUUGUAUUGUAUUUCCAGAGGAUUAUUUGAUCAAAAGGAAAAGACUGAUUAGACAUUGGGUGACAGCAGGAUUCAUCAGGGAAACAGAGCACAAAACAAUGGAGGAAGUGGCAGAGGGCUAUUUGUAUGAACUUGUAAAUCGAAGCCUAUUGCAGGUAGUGGAGAGGAAUGAAAGUGGACGUGUGCGGAGUUGCCGAAUGCAUGAUAUCAUUCGCCUUCUUGCUCUGGCUAAAUCAAAUGAGGAAAGGUUCUGUAGAGUUCAUGAUGGCUCAGUGAGUUCUUCAGCAGAAAAUACACGCCGCCUAUCAAUCCAAAGCCCCAAUAUUGAGCAGUUGACUCUUUCAAGUGAAGUUCAGCUCCGUUCAAUCUAUGUUUUUGACAAUGGUCUGACAAUUGAUUCACUGAAGCCUUUCUUGAAAUCUUUCAAGUUGCUAUCAACUUUAGAUCUACAAGGUUCCAAAAUUAGGAGGCUACCAAAUGAGAUUUUCAACAUGUUUAAUCUGCGGUUUCUGGGUCUUAGAGAUACCGAGGUUGAGGAUAUUCCGAAAACAGUUGGAAGACUACAGAAAUUGGAAGUUUUGGAUGCUUACAAUGCUAAGCUGUUGAGUUUGCCGGAGAGUGUGGUGACACUUAGGAAGUUGAGAUAUCUAUAUGUUGCUACUGAUCCAAAGACAAAUAUUAAAGGAGUUGUUGCCUGGACUGGAAUCCAGGUGCCUAAUGGAAUAAGGCACUUGACAGACUUGCAAGCCUUGCAACUUGUUGAGGCAAGCUCAGAGACUUUGUGUCAUCUUGGUGCUUUGACAGAGUUGAGAACUUUGUCCAUCACCAAAGUGCAGAGAGAACAGUGUGUUGAUUUGUGCAAUGCUAUCAUGAAUAUGACCCAUCUUGUUAGUCUUGCAAUUAUGGCUAUAAACGAGAAAGAAACACUGGAACUGGAAGAGCUCUGCUUACCCCCUACGCUCUCGAAGCUUGAAAUAGGAGGGCAACUAGAUAGGAAACGGAUGCCUCAGAUUGUCUCGUCCUUCUCAGACCAUGAAAACAUUACCUUGUUGGCCUUAGCCUUCUCCAAACUUGAUGAAGACUCAUUUUCAUGCCUGCUGGUGUUACAUGGUCUACGUGCACUUUGGCUUGAUAAGGCCUAUGAAGGGAAGAGGCUGCACUUCAAUGCCAUGACAUUUCCAAAACUGCGACUGCUAUCAAUCUCAGAUGCACCUCAGCUCAAUGAUGUUGUAGUAGAAGAAAGUGCAUUGCAAAGCCUUGUUCACCUAUCUCUCACAGAUUGUCCAGAGCUGAAGGCCCUCCCUGAUGGCAUUGAGCAUCUUAGAACUCUAGAAAAAUUAUAUCUGCGAGGAGUUUCCAAAGAUCUCACAAAGAAGCUUCAGAAUAAAGAAAAAACAAAUGAAUGCAAUGAUUAUCUUAAGAAGAUCAAUCACGUCCGAAGGGUAACUGUUUAUCCAUGAAGCACUUGGGAAUGAGAUCAACGACACUUGAGAGAUGGCCUUGUGGUAACAUGCAGCCCUCCUGAACUGUUUGGAGGGAAAAAAAAAGAGGAGGCUCUAUAGAAGAGAGGUGGCAAGGAAAUUAGAGAAGCAUCUGUGUGCAGAACCUGAGUUAGAAACAAGGGAGAAGAGGAGAGCCUUAUUCGAUUUUCUUGGUCGAGAAUUGAGAUGUUGAAAAUGCACAACACAUCAAAAUGGAUACCUCAGGAGGAAUCAAAGAGGGAACCAUAAAUGAUCUCAAUGCAGCAAAAGUUUCAGCAAGGAAAGCUGCUGAAAUAGGCGAGUGUUGCCUCAGUUUAUUAUCAUCACUAUUUUUUUCCUUCCGUAGUGGCACUAUCUCAAGGAUUUGCGUACUCAUCAGCGGGUUCAGUUUCUUCUUCUGCGCUUUGUCUAAAAUUUAUCACCUAUUAAAAAUGUGGCUUUCUGUGAGAAAAGUGUGGAUAGUAAAUUUGUCAGGCUGAACAUUUCCCAUCUUACCACAGCAAACUUAUUUUCAUUUGAGUUGUUUCAAUUCCAUUAUGUAUACAUACAAUUCGACUUGCAAGGGAAUGCCAAAAAACUAAAAGACGGGUUUUGUAGGACGGUGAUUCGACUUGUAAUGUUGUAUGGCACGGAGUGUUGGCUGUUGAGAUGGAUGUGUGGCCAUACAAGGAAGGAUCGAGUCAGUAAUGAUGAUAUAUAGCCAGGAUAGAGUUGGGGUAGGACCAACUGAAGAGAAGCUUGUCCAAUAUCAUCUGAGAUGGUUUGGUCAUAUACAAAGCAGGCCUCCAGAAACUCCAGUGCAUAGCAGACGCCUAAAGUGUGUUGCUAAUGUCAUGUAAGGUCGGGAUAGACUAAACUUCACAUGGGAGGAGUCCGUAAAAAGAGAUCCGAAGGAUUGAAAUAUCAUCAAAGAACUAGUCAUGGACAAGGGUGCAUGAUCCACGUGCGAGAACCAUGAGCUGGUUGCAAGAUCUCACGGGUUUCAGCUCUGUUGUUGUUUGUGUUAGAGUUAUAUUAGUGAUGUCUUUUGGCCUUUUGCAUUCUAGUCUCUUGGCAUCCUUUUGUAGCCUUUUGGCAUCCUUAUGUAUGUGUAUACAUAUGUUGGCUUUGGCCUCCUAAUAAUACAAGUUGCUUCUUCUCC